AGUGAACGCUAACGGCAUGCUUAACACAUGCAAGUCGAACGAGAACGGGUUAUAACUUGUUAUAACUGUCAGCUAAGUGGCGCACGGGUGAGUAAUGUAUAGGUAAUAUGCCUCUUACUAAGGGAUAACAAAUGGAAACGUUUGCUAAUACCUUAUACUCCUUAUUAACCUAAGUUAAUAAGGGAAAGAUUUAUUGGUAAGAGAUUAGCCUGUAUUGUAUCAGUUAGUUGGUGGGGUAAUGGCUUACCAAGACUAUGACACAUAACUGGUUUGGGAGGAUGAUCAGUCACACUGGAUCUGUGACACGGUCCAGACUUCUACGGGAGGCAGCAGUGGGGAAUAUUGCACAAUGGACGAAAGUCUGAUGCAGCAACGCCGCGUGGAGGAUGACACAUUUCGGUGCGUAAACUCCUUUUAUAUGAGAAGAUAAUGACGGUAUUAUAUGAAUAAGCACCGGCUAACUCCGUGCCAGCAGCCGCCGUAA
rnacentral:rRNA from 1 species